rnacentral:rRNA from 1 species
UACAGAGGGUGCAAGCGUUGUUCGGAAUUACUGGGCGUAAAGCGCGUGUAGGCGGUCCAGCAAGUCGGGUGUGAAAUCCCUUGGCUUAACCAAGGAACUGCAUUCGAAACUACUGGACUCGAGUAUCGGAGGGGAUGGCGGAAUUCCCGGUGUAGAGGUGAAAUUCGUAGAUAUCGGGAGGAACACCUGUGGCGAAGGCGGCCAACUGGACGAAGACUGACGCUGAGACACGAAAGCGUGGGGAGCAAACAGG